AUCCAGAGCAGAUGGCGAAUGGUGAAUCCAAUUUCAUCGGAUUAUCCAUCAAAUUACCGGAUGGGACGACUAAAAAAUUCCUUGCGUAUCCUGGUAGUACAGUGAAGGAUGUCCACCAGGGAAUUCUACUGGAAUGUAAAAUUCCAGUUACGGAACAGAAAUUAUAUUAUAAGGGGGAGCAGCUACAGCGGUGGCAGACACUUGAAGACUACUCAAUUCAAAACGACGAUUGCCUCGAAUUGAAGCUUGGAUUUGAUGACACAUCCUUACUUUUCCAAAAGAUUCACCAAAUGAGUUCAAACAUUUGUCGCAUGUGCCUAGGGGAAUAUCUCUCGAAAGCUGCUUUUGACGAUAACUGGAUGACGAUUGUCGCACUGUUGGAACUUCUAACAGAAGAUGAAUCGGAGAAUCUUAUGAGUUCGUAUUCUGUCCCUGCGACUUUGGUUAUGCUUUACAGGUCAGCAAUUCCAGAACACAAAGCCUAUGCUUAUGCUUUGAUAGUGUUUUCCAUGGAAAAAAUAUCGAAUUGUCCAAAUGUUUCUGUUGAUAGAUGUAUACAUUUAGCAUUAGAAUUUUGUGCUUGGCUUAGUACGGUACAUGGUGAUCCUCUGUAUCAGCCAUGGCGGACUACUCUAAAGCAGUUGUUGGAAAGAGGUAACCUUAGUGACCUACGCUCAAUUUUCCAAAUUAGACACUGGUUUAUUGAGAUGGCAAAUACCUUAAGCCUCCUAUUGAGUAAGAUGCAGGAAUCAAAUCCAAACUCAUAUCCAAUCCCACUCAUUGAGUCAUUGAAAUUUUGUUUUCGUGAAUUCCAGGUAUUUUCAUGCGUAUUACGUAAUGCAAUUUGUGGUAUAGAUAAUGCCAAAGAGGAGGAUAAGUAUAUAGUUGAUUUAUUGUCAACAGGUAUUAAAGGUGUAUUUAGUAUCCUGUUGAAUAAAAUUGAGAAUAAUCUUAGACUUAUACCACAGACAGCAAGAAUAUUCGAAACAA
rnacentral:misc_RNA from 1 species